CCCCGUCCCUUUGUUCAAUCAGUCCUGCAGCUGGCACACUCCCACCUUCUUGGGGCUCAUCUAGGGGUGGAGAAGACCCUGGACCGGAUCAAGGCAAGAUUCCACUGGCCGGGGGUGAAGAGGGCAGUGGAGGAUUACUGCCGCAGUUGCCCGGAGUGCCAACAGGUGGCACCAAAACCACAUUUCCGUGGCCCAUUAAUUCCCCUACCGAUUAUUUCAGUUCCUUUCAGCAGGAUUGCCAUGGACCUGGUGGGACCACUACCCAAGAGCAGCCGGGGGGCACCAGUACAUCCUGGUGAUACUGGAUUAUGCCACUAGGUACCCCGAAGCCAUUCCACUGCGCACCAUGGCCUCAAAAGGGAUUGCACGUCCGGGGCAGCCCAUGGGAAUGCGGAUGCCCUGUCCAGGAGGGAUGCUCUGGGGAGCUGGACCGCCCCUCCCUCCCGGUCGGAGCUGAGGGGGAGGGUGUGUGGCAGACGCCAGGGAGGGGUGGUGAUUGAGGGGAGGUAUGUGGCAGCAUGCUGGCUCCACCCCCAAGCUUUACAAGGACUGCCUCCCUUAACGAUGCAAGCCUGAGGUGCAUUAGGCAGGAGUGCUUGGGGAUAAAAGGGAGCAUGCAACCACAUGGAGGGAGCCUACUAUGGAGUGCCUCUGCGUGAGCCUCUGCGAACUGUGUGUGGCCAAAGAGAGCAGGAAACCUGAACAUUUACGGAUUAUUUGUGUACCGACCGCUUUGUUUGAGAACCCUCCCGGCGACGACCCCUGGACUACGGACUACAGAUUACGGACUCUGGAUUACCCUUUUCCCCACCCUGGUGACACUUAUUCGUCUAUUCUGAAUGAACCACCUUAUUGAACUGCUCUCGGUGUGUGUGUAUCAUUUGACUUGGUGGCGUGGAAACCCCACACCCACUGGCCCGCUACACUCCGUUAAGUUUGCCUCGCAAAUGAAUAGUGCAGAGGUAAUUUUUCUAGUUAGUGUGGAUAAGGUUCAUAGUGUUGUGGAAACUGGAGUAGUGAUUCUUUAUCACCCUUCUUGCAAGCCCAGCAAGAAGGGUGAUAAAUUUGAACGUUCCUCCAUACAUAAGCAACGAGGCGUUGGGGAGAGAACUGGGCCGGUAUGGACACCUGAAAAAUUGGAAGGACUUGGGGGGGGAAAAUCCCCCCGGGUAGAGCAUGUUUUUACCUACAGAAGAUAUGUUUUCAUGGUCUUAAAAAAUAAUGAAGUCGAUCUCAAUCUAGUCUUGAAAUUCAAGGUGAAAAUUUUUGAUCACACAGUCUUGGCCACUUCGGACAAUUUGAUGCGUUUAAAGUGCGGACAGGAGGGGCAUUUUGCCCGUUUUUUUUUUCUCUUCUUCCGAUGAGUCUGAUACAGAAUUGAUGAAUUAUUCUCAACCCCAAGAACAAGAAGAUAGCCCUACUGAUUAUUCUUUUGAAAGAAGUACUUCCCUGUUCUGAAUGCUUGUAUUGAGUCCGUAAAACAUAUUGGCUUGAAAACAGGGGCGGGGUGGCCGUCGGGAUGAUCGGGAGAUUUCCCGGUCGGCUGGCCAGCCAGCGAGGUCAGGUGGACCGGCCCGCAAUUGUUGUGAGCGGCCUGCGAAGUCAGUUGGACCGGCCCACAAUUAUUGUGAGCGUCCACGAGGCGUCUGCAAGCCGGUCCCGAGCAUAAUCUAUUCCCCUACAAGACGCUGUGAAAAUCCCCAAAAUAAACAAUAUAAAUCUCGGGAACAUCCAACCAAUAUUUAUACCACUUGCUUUUGCUAUGUCUCAUUCAUGGUCUUUUUUUAUAUAAUUUUUUUUUACUUCAUUUAAUUCUUCAUUAUUCAGCCGUUACAGAACUAUCAUGGCCAUAAAUAAAAAAUACGAACUACAGUUUAAUUUGAUUUAUUUGUUCUUGAUUUGACGU
ensembl:lncRNA